rnacentral:rRNA from 1 species
UACGGAGGGGGCGAGCGUUAUUCGGAAUUAUUGGGCGUAAAGGGCGCGUAGGCGGCAUGGUAAGUCAAAGGUGAAAUCCCUCGGCUCAACUGAGGAAUUGCCUUUGAAACUGCCAAGCUUGAGGCCGGGAGGGGGUAGCGGAAUUCCCAGUGUAGCGGUGAAAUGCGUAGAUACUGGGAGGAACACCGGUGGCGAAGGCGGCUACCUGGACCGGAUCUGACGCUGAUGCGCGAAAGCGUGGGGAGCAAACAGG